CCCCCUACAAAUGGUAUCAGAAGCCAGUUAUUUAAAAAAUAUAUCAGUACAAUAUAUGUUUGAUAUGUUUGAUAGUAUAUAUGUUUGAAUUUAUGUUUAAAUUUAAAUUGGAUUAAAUUAGUUAUGAGAAGACCAUUUAAAAACAGAGAAGCUUUUAGAAAAAUAAAAGAAUGUUUAAUUAGUAAUUAUACAGAAUAUAUAAGUCUAAAUGAAACAAAAGAAAACCCACAAAGAUUAGCCUACCUAAUUACCUUAAUAUCUAGUAUUGAAGCAAAAUUAGUAAUCCAUUUAAAAUCGAGAAGAAUGAGACACAUACUACCUAAUUAUGAUAAAAUUAGAUUUAAAUAUCCACCA
rnacentral:lncRNA from 1 species